UCAGCCUGCAGAGUGAAAUAAAGCGAGGCAAGAUGAAGUGGGAAUGAGAUAGGGAUGGGGGACAGUGCUGUCACCCAGUAGCCCCACAGCCUCCACCCUAGCACACUGCUUUAUUCUCUUCGUAACACUAAUCACUACCUACACGUUUGUUUGUUUGUGCCUCUGUUCCUACAAGAAUGAAUCUAAGUGCUGUGAGGGCAGGAUAAUUGUCUUGCCCAUCUGACUCCCAGUGCCCAGAUCAAUGCUUGGCAUAUUGUGGAAAUUCUAUAAAUACUGACUGGAUAAAUGAAUUCUAUUUAAUUGUUUACAAUCAAAUUAAAAAUCUGAGAACUUAUGUCCCAUUGUUUCAAAAAUCUUGUUAUCUGCUAUGAGCUAUUACAACUUUAAAAGAAUUAAGAAUAGUGACCAAAUAAUAAUCUUAUAUGGUUAAUUUGGAAGCCUGAAACUAAAAAUGACAAGAGCCUGCAUUGCAUGAAAUGGGUUGCAUUAUAGCAUCACUUCAAGAAGGCCAAGCCUCAUGGGUCACAGGGUCUGGGAUGAUUUCUCCCAGCCAUAACUGGGGUUAAAAUGAUGAGUCAGCAAAAAAAAACAACAAAACUGGAUACCUGAGGACUUGAAGAUGGAAUUUAGAAACAGGAUAUAAAUAAGUAUGGGGUAAGAAACUUACCAAAAGAUAUCAAAGCAAAGCAUAAGAUGCUAUUUUUUUUAAAAAAAGAAAAAAGUAUUCUGGCAGGUUUAAAAAAGUACCAAAUAGUCCAUUAAAAAAUACUAUCCUUGAUAGUAAAAACUCAAUAAACCCAUUGAAGAAAUAUUUCUGAUUUAAAGGGAGGAAAUCUUUAAAUGCCUGGAAUACAUCAUUGAGAGAGAAAUCCACUCCUCUCACUUUCCCCUCCCCCCCCAAAAAAUUCCAGAGAGGCUAAGACAUAGCCCCUCACAUACCUACUCAGAUUUCAGGAGAAGGUGCACUGUAGUGCAACCACAUGGCACAAAGGACCAAGGUCUUAAAAGCAGCCAGAGGUUCAGAUGCUUCAAUGACUGUCCUGCUUCAAAGCUCUCGAGGGCUUCAUUUCCCCUGGUAAACUGAGAGUAGUCCCCAAAUUUCCACCCAAAACUCACAGUAUAUAUUUAAGAAAAGAAUGACAUCUGACCAAUAAGUAGAAAUUUCUGGUUUUAAUCACAGUAUGAUGUGUCUGGCAAGAGUAAACUCUUGAUAUUUGAUUUUAAAAGGGGCAAUGGAUGAUGGAAAUUUAACAGUGUUGAUCCAACACUGUCCAAGAAGAAACUGUAUAUUCCGGGCAACUAGAGAUGUGCAGUGUGAUGGGGCAGGAUGACCUGUGCCUGGCCAGCUUUUCCUUCCAGACACGCCAUUUCCCUUCCUUCGACUGGUGCCCUGAACGAGAAUACCCAUAACUCCUUUUCUCAGGCUUUUAGCCUUUUCUGACUUCAUCCCAAAGAAGUUUCUUUCAUAUACAUGUGAAAAAAAAUCCAACUCUACAAAGCGGCUGUGCACUUCUUUGAAUCCUGACACUUAACAUCUGCAAGAGCUGCUUGCUCAGGACAGCUAUUCAGAAGGCAGGAAGAACACAGCACUAAAUAUCUCGGAAAUUUUUAUUUUCCUCGCCAACAUCUUUUCCAGCAUUUUAUUAACUAAUGAUAAGUGACCAUUAGAAAUUAUUUGGCUGUAUAUUGCUUUCAAAAAGCAGUAAGAAAGUGGCCAUUUAGAAAAAGGAGGUACAUCAGGUUAGAAA